GAAUAUUAAGAAAAGAGGAGAUCAAGAAUUGAUCUCGAUAUCCACUAUUCUAAAGUUUCCAGCUCUGUUCUAUGAAGAAAAAGUUAUGAAUUUCUAAUGUACAAGCAAACUAAUUUGCUUCUCUCAUACUUGGGCGUAAAAUCAAAACUUGGGGAGCUACAAGGUUAUAAAGUUGUAAAAGUAAUUUCGCACAAAUUUGACUUUAUCGUAAUGUUUGGAUUCAAAGGAUUUAAAACACUGUUUGAACUGAUUGCAAAUCUCCACCGAUGUUUAUUUUUAUAUUUCUAUAUUUAUGCAUAUACCAAGUAGGAUGAGACAUGAGUGUAACACUGUUGCAGAAAAAUGUCGGUUCACGGAUUCCCAUCUGACAGUUAAACUGGAUACCAUUUACUUCCAAGGAUUGACGUGAAUAUAAUGCAAGAAUUCUGCAAGAUGAGGUUGGUUGAGUCUGUUGUUCGAACGAUGCGUGUAGCUAAGGUCUACACUGACAACCAGGACACGAUCACGAACAUGAACUUCAGCAGUGAUGGUAUGAGUCUAAUAACUAGCAGUGCUGAUGAUCAGAUUAUUAUCUAUGAUUGUGAAAAGGGAACUCAGAAACGAACCAUUAACAGUAAGAAGUACGGAGUGGAUUUGGUUCAGUUUUGUUCAAACAAAUCCCAGGCUGUGCACGCUAGCACCAAAGAAAACGAUGUUAUCAGGUAUAUCUCUCUAACUGAGAACAAGUAUAUCCGAUAUUUUGGUGGACACACUAAGCGUGUGGUUACCCUCUGUAUGAACCCAACCGAUGAAACUUUUCUCUCAGGAUCCAUGGACAAAACAAUACGACUCUGGGACCUCAGGUCAAACAACUGCCAGGGUUUGAUGAACCUGGCCGGUCGACCUGUUGCCGCCUUCGACCCUGACGGACUCAUAUUCGCUGCAGGGGUCAACUCAGAACAUGUUAAACUUUAUGAUCUCAGGUCCUUCGACAAGGGACCGUUUGCCUCGUUUAAGCCUGAAGCUAAGAGUAAGGAGUGUGAGUGGACCGGACUUAAGUUUAGUCCGGAUGGAAAGUCUAUCCUUAUCUCUACCAACGGUUCAGACAUUAAACUUAUUGAUUCUUUUCAGGGGAACGCUCUGCAGACCUUGAAUGGACACCUGAACACUAAACAGUUACCACUAGAGGCUUCUUUCUCCCCAGACUCCCAGUUUAUUAUCUCUGGUUCUACGGACGGAAGGAUUCACAUCUGGAAUACAGAAAACGGUCAGAAGGUUUGCUCCUUGAACGGUGAUCACAAGAACCCUGUUCAGUGUGUACAGUUCAGCCCGAGGCACAUGAUGAUGGCUAGUGCUUGUCAGAUGAUGUGUUUAUGGUUACCGAGUUCCGACGAGGACGAAGAUUAAUUCCUCCUCUGUACUUCACACGUUGUACGCGCUUCUUAUCAGAAUGCUCGUUUUUGAAUGCGCGAUGCGCUCGUUCUUGUUGUGAUUUUGUAAAACCUUAGUCAACCCAUAGUGUUAAGGGUCUUUAAUGUUUUCUCAAGAACCAAUGCUGUUGUCAUUUUUAUAUUUAUUUUAUUUAAACCUCUACACAAGUCUACAUUUUACAAUAUAAUUAAAUAAUGUAAUUGUACAGUAUUCAAUCCGUACAGCGCCAUUUUUGGUUACUAGGAACCUUGUGUACAAGGUUGAAAACGUACUUACUGCAGUACAAUGUACAGUGUACUGCUGUAUAAUUUCAGAAAAAAAAUGUCUUUCAUUUAAUUUUACUUCUGCACCAGUUCAGCUUGUUAUUAACAGCUUUUCCCUCCGUCUUCUCAUUUUUUAAAUAACAAUUCUCUCUUACAAACUGUCAAAACUUAUAUUACUCUCCCCAGUCCCACCAGUUCUCUGAACACUUAAUACUUUACCUACUGAAAAUACCGCCCCCUUUGUCUGAACAAAAAGAAAAAUGGCAUCAGCAGACCGAAAAAUACGGGAAAAGAUUACAAUGUUGUUUAACAGAUUUUCUUAAUUAAAGAGUGAUAUGUAAUUGUGAUUUUAUGUAGUAAAUAUCCGCUAAUAACUUUUCAAGCUAUCAAAACAUAAAUUAUUUAAUCUGAACAUAUAAUAUAAAACAUUUGGCACAGAUUUCAUCAGAGCUUCUAAAGGAUAUAAUCCUUUAGAAAUCCGUAGAAUAUUGAAAAAUCUCAUUUAAAAUAUGAUUUGUCGUUUGUUAACAUUUACUGAAGUGCAGUUUUGACUCCCCCAGCCCUCUUGCUUGUAGUCAACUUGAAUUGUUUUAGAAAA
rnacentral:misc_RNA from 1 species